UUCAGUGGAAUAACUGAGUAACAAAUGAUAAUCAUCAUUUACUGAAAAUCACUUGGUGUGAAUGCUUGCAGGAUUAUAUCUGUUUCUUUUAGCGAAUGAGUAUGAGAAAGGAGAAGCGUGGCCUUGGAGUUGUGACUGAUUCUUUUCCACUGAAGCCAUGCAACUAAUUGAAUGCUACAAUUUCACUCACAGGUUGUUUCCCCAACAAAGUGACAUUGAACUGAUAGGCAGGAACCUGAUGAUGAACUGAGCUCUCUUUGUUCUCCCAGUACAGACCACAGCUGCAACCCUUACCAUAUUUAGACACUGUGAUCAAAUAUGAUCAAAUAUCUAUUCAAUAAAACAAUAACGAAAAAAGGAAUUUUGUGUGCGUCAAUCUUGCCCUGACAUAUUUAAUAUUCAACAAAGGAAACUAUGCAAAGAGCAUAUUUGAAUGUGAGUGUCUGUCUGAGCAAAUGUCCUUAUAGGGUCUGUUAUGUUUUCUAGGUUCAACCGUGUGUGAGCCUGUCUGCGGCCUGGUGAACCGCAGGUCACUGCCCGCAAGUCAUAGGGAUCUGGCGAAGUUUGUUAGUCUGUCCACUGAAGUUAUUGUCACAACCACAACACACCAACCUCAGAGAGACUGACAGAGAGCCGACUGGGAAGUCAAAAAGCAGUGUUUUCCCAUGUGAUUCAUCCUGAGGGAAACAGUGGAAAAUGAAGUGAAAAAUAUCCUUCGUGCAGGACAAUCCCCUGCCUCAUUAAAGUGAAAACAGAGAAAAAAAUGAUCAAGUUUAAAAUAUUUAACUCCUUUAAUCAAACUCUAAUAGACAACUGAGGGUCCUCAACAAUGAAAGUUUUAUAUUUUCAUAUUAAAUUAUUUAUAUUAAAGAAAGAAGAAGAAAAUAGAGGGACUGUAGACAUCAAGAAUGAAAAAGUUUGGGCUUGUCCCAAAAGCACUCUCUGAAGAAGCGAGAGGGGAAUUUCAAAGCCCAGACUGGGACUGGUAUAAUUAGUAGUGUUGUGUAGUGGAUACAUCCGGCGGAACUAGGAAAGCCUGGCAGGUGGACGUUUCUCAGAGACCAGACAGAAAUAUAAAGUAUGGCUGCCAUCCAUCCAGUCAGUCUUACAUAAAGUACCAACAGGGGUCACUGAGUGGUAGUGGGACUGCAGCAUGUUUCAUUAAAAUACUGUCAAAAGACCAAUCUAACUGACACUUUGUCUCAUGAGAGCUGAUCUAAUUAACUCAAAACUUCUGAGUCUUUAUAUCGAUCGUAUCACAAAUGUGGAAUAAAACACAUUUUAAUUCCCUCUUUAUUAUCAAGUAAACUGUAUUAAAGGAUUAACUGAUAUGAAAGGUUUAUGUAGGUUUAAGUUAAUACAAAAAAUUGCAGCUUAGAGAACAGGGCUGAAUACACAACAAAGAUGAGAUACUUUAUGUUCAAACUAAUAAACAUCAUUGUUUUUUGCAAAUAUUCACUCAUUUACUUUUUUUGAAUUUGAUGUCUGCAGGACAUUCCAAAAAAGUUGCAACAGGGUCAACAAAAGACUGAAAAUUGAGAAUUCCUCCCAAAACACCUGUUUGGAUCAUACCUCAAGUGAGCGAGUUCAUUGGAAACAGGUAAGUGUCAUGAUGGCAAGGAGCAUUAAGAAAGGCUCAGUUAUUUAAAAGCAAGGAUGGGAGCAGGUUCACCACUUUGGCAACUUCUGUGUGAGCAAAUAGUCAGACAGCAUAACAACAAACAUGUUGUUCCUUUGGUUAAGGUUUUGAUGUAAGUUUUUAUUUUCAUAUUGUGGUACAUCUUUAUUCAGUGGAGGAUGUGAACACUCCUCCACACACUAAGAGGGAAACAUGCUUUUCUUUUAUGGGUUGUCUCUUCUGAAGCAUUUGAUCAUUUCAAAUGCUACCAUUUCAUCCUCUGUUCAAACAAAACCAAAAUACAGCCUGUGUUCUCCAAAACACCAGAAAAUCCUGGCAACCUCACUGUCCUGCUGAUCCAAAUUGGCCACUAACUCAGUUCUGACUGUCCUGCAGAAACCAAAUAAACCUUUAUUGAGAUGAAGACUCUGCGUACAAGGAAUUUCUCAUGCACAAGCAAUAAAACUACUGUGAGGUUCAGUUUUGAACAACUGUUCAUUUAACGUACCUUCUAUGACCAUCAACCUUCUAUGAAUUUAAUCCAAAACCUAACCCUAACCCUAGCCAAACCCUAACCCUAACCCUAGCCCUAACCCUAACCCUACCCCUAGCCAAACCCUAACCCUAACACUAGCAUCAACCCUAAGGCCUUGAUUAGCCUACCCCAAACUGCCAAGUCAACAGACAAAAGCGGGGGCUAUCACUGUAUCUCUUACCCACACCUAACCCUACCCCUAGCCAAACCCUAACCCUAACACUAGUAUAAACCCUAACCCUAACCCUAGCCAAACCCUAACCCUAAUCCAAACCCUAACCCUAACCCUAGCCCUAACCCUAACACUAACCCUACCCCUAGCCAGACCCUAACCCUAACACUAGCAUCAACCCUAACCCUAACCCUAGCCAAACCCUAACCCUAACCCUAGCCUCAACCCUAACCCUAACCCUAGCCAAACCCUAACCCUAGCCCUAACCCUAACCCUAACCCUGGCCCUAACCCUAGCAUAUACCCUAACCCUAACCCGAACCCCUAACCCGAACCCUAACCCUAACCCUAACCUGGGUUCUAACCCUAACCCUAACCAUAGCCCUAACCCUAACCUGGGCUCUAAACCUAACCCUAACCCUAGCCCUAACCCUAACCUGGGCUCUAACCCUAACCCUAACCCUAACCCUAGCCCUAACCCUAACCCUAACCCUAGAUUGGGCUGUAACCCUAACCCUAACCCUAACCCUAGGUCUAACCCUAACCCUAACCAUAGAGGGUCAAUAAAUAAAUUAAUAAAUAAAUAAAUACAAAAAGACAUUACAUCAUAUAUUACAUGGUAAAUUAUCUACAAGGGUUUUAAAGGGUUAAAAGAGUAAGUAGAAAAAGGGUUUAUAAAUUAGUUAAUAAAUAAGUAAAUUCAUUGUAUUUUUCUCUGGGACAGUAUAAAAGGCAGAACCCAGUAGGGAAAGUUCAUUUUCACCCUGACAGAGACUAAGUAAAGACCUAUUUCAUUUCAAUUCAUUGUGUGUGCCUUGGCCUGAGGAAGACCAACAUAGGUCGAAACGUAGCAUCAGAGGCACACAAGAAGAAGGCUAAAAAGGGUUCAUGGUUUAAAACAAAUUAAAAAAUCUCGAAAAAAACAUUAAAAAGUCUAAAAAAAGCAAAAAAAUUUAAAAAAAUAAUAAAAAAAUACAAAAAUAUUAAAAACAUUAAAAACCAGUUGAUAUUUUGAAAACUUUUAUAUUUAGGGUGUUAAUCAAUAUUUCUUUUCAAGAAAGAAGUUUAAAACAAAGUAAAAUCAACAAUUUAUUUUAAGAAAGGGUUAAAAACAUUUUAUUUCAAAAAGGAAGUUUAAAAAACAGAGUAAAAUCAACAAUUUAUUUUAAGAAAAGGGUUAAAAACAGUUUAUUAAAAACACAAUUUUGUUUUAGAAAGCCUUUAUUUUAUUUUGUGGGAAUAAUCAAAAUUUAAGUUCAAAUAAGAAAACAAUUAAUAAUUAAAAACAAAUUAAAACUACAAACCUGAUGGCCACUCAACGAUUGAGUGGCCUUGACGGCUGGACGGAAGUCCGCUAUGGCUGUAACGGCCGGAGCUUCCGCCAGCCAUUCCGGGACCGGGGGAACGUGUCCGGUCGAGGGAAGGCCCGUGCAUUCCCCGCUCCCUAUGGGAGACGGGAUUCAUUCCCCAAACCUAACCCUAACCCUUUUGUGCCCAUAGCCUGAAGAAGACCCACAGCGGUCGAAAUGUCGCGACUGGGCACUCUUUAUCACACCUUUUCUUUAUUUCUUUGUCUUCAUAGACAUUUUAUUCAGUUUGCUUUCUUUAAUUUCAUUUUAUUUCAUUUUUAUUUCACAAAAAAACAAAAAAGCAUAAAAAAAUAAGAACAAUUCAUUUAUUUUGUUAUACUGUUUUAGUUUUAAAUACCUUUAUUUCAAUAAAUAAAUAAAUUAGAUAGGUAGAUAGACCAAUAAAUAAAUAAAUAGUUUAGUCAAUACACCACAUUAAUAAAUAGUAAUAAAUAAUUGAAAAGAUUAGAAACAGUCAUGACUUACGAGCAAGAACAAUGGACUGAAGUGCGAUACGGGAGAAGGCGUGGUCGACGCCCGUACCACACUAAUCAGCAGUACCAAACGGGGUCGUGGGGGACGGGGAACAGGGGGAUGGACCGUGCACCUCCUGUCUCCUAUUCUAGGAGACAGUCCCCCUAUUCCCGUAAUCCUAACCCUAACCUCUAACCC